rfam:Triticum aestivum genome assembly, contig: Triticum_aestivum_CS42_TGACv1_scaffold_343580_4DL
UACAUACCCUCUCCGUCCCAAAAUUCUUGUCUUAGAUUUGUCAAAAUACGAAUGUAUCAAGUCACAUUUUAGUAUUAGAUACAUCCGUAUCUUGACAAAUCUAAGACAAGAAUUUUGGGACGGAGGGAGUACUAC